rnacentral:rRNA from 1 species
GAUGAACGCUGGCGGCGUGCCUAAUACAUGCAAGUCGAACGAGGUGCUUUUGUAGCAAUACGAAAGUAUCCUAGUGGCGAACGGGUGAGUAACGCGUUGGUGACCCUACCCCAAAGUGUGGGAUAACAGUCCGAAAGGAUUGCUAAUACCGCAUGUGGUUAUUGGAUUUAGAAACUGAUAACUAAAGGAGCAAUUCGCUUUGGGAGGGACCUGCGUCCCAUCAGCUAGUUGGGAGGUAACGGCUCACCAAGGCUACGAC